rnacentral:piRNA from 1 species
UAGGAUUUCUUAUCUUUUCUCUGGGGACAGC